UCCCACAGACGUGAAAGGGUCAGGGCACCGCUGGUUCGCCUCAGAGUUCCUUGUCAUGGUCGCUAUUCAAAGAGCACAGAAACCAGGAUUCUCUCGCUCCCUAAAUGCAACUAAGCUACAGCCUGUGUCCUGUGCUGUGGGCCGCGGAGACACAGACACUCAAGCUCUCUGACCAGUAACUCAGUUGGCGACGGGAAGAGGGCCGGGCGCGUCUAAAGCACAGGCAAAGUGCUCAUGAUGGGACCCUCGUGGAAAUGGGUUUUAAGGAGUUUUCUGAGUCCUAGUCUUCUGAUCUUAAAAAUGAGUCAGUCUGGGACUUCCCUGGUGGCGCAGUGGUUAAGAAUCCGCCUGCCAAUGCAGGGGACACAGGUUUGAGCCCUGGUCCGGGAAGAUCCCACAUGCCGCAGAGCAACUAAGCCCGCGUGCCGCAACCACUGAGCCCGCGUGCUACAGCUAUUGCAGCCUGCGCGCCUAGAGCCCGUGCUCCACAACAAGAGAAGCCACUGCAGUGAGAAGCCUGCGCACCACAACGAAGACCCAACGCAGCCAAAAAUAAAUAAAUAAAUAAAAUUAAAACAAAA